rnacentral:rRNA from 1 species
GAUGAACGCUGGCGGCGUGCUUAACACAUGCAAGUCGAACGGUGAAGCAGAGCUUGCUCUGUGGAUCAGUGGCGAACGGGUGAGUAACACGUGAGCAACCUGCCCCUGACUCUGGGAUAAGCGCUGGAAACGGCGUCUAAUACUGGAUAUGAGCUGCGACCGCAUGGUCAGCAGUUGGAAAGAUUUUUCGGUCUGGGAUGGGCUCACGGCCUAUCAGCUUGUUGGUGAGGUAAUGGCUCACCAAGGCGUCGACGGGUAGCCGGCCUGAGAGGGUGACCGGCCACACUGGGACUGAGACACGGCCCAGACUCCCACGGGAGGCAGCAGUGGGGAAUAUUGCACAAUGGGCGAAAGCCUGAUGCAGCAACGCCGCGUGAGGGAUGACGGCCUUCGGGUUGUAAACCUCUUUUAGCAGGGAAGAAGCGAAAGUGACGGUACCUGCAGAAAAAGCGCCGGCUAACUACGUG